rnacentral:lncRNA from 1 species
AGUGGGCUUUCCACAUUGUAUAGCACGUGAGGAGUACCAUCUUUCAUUACAACAGGCGGAAACUUGUGGUGGUGGGUGUGGGUGAGGGCGGAAGGUAUUUCUUCAACUGAAAGUUGAAGGGUUGUGCUGAACUGGAUGUGAACCUUUUCACUCUUAAAGUCUUCUUUCAUAUCUCAGUGGGCCUGUUAUUUUUCAAUCAGACAUUUGCAUUUAAUAAAGCAUUUGCUUUCUCACUUUUUUUUUCCAUUCAGGACCUGGUCAGGCAUUCUCUGCUACCACAUGUGAUGUUUUCAUGUUUAAAAUAGCAAUGUAUCCUUCUUAGAGAUCUAAAGGGAUACCGAGUAAGGUGGUUGGCAGAGGAAUUAGUUGAUGUGAACUGAAAUGGGUUGGUAUGGGCUGCUGUAGUGGAGGGAUACCCUGCAAAAGAGGAUGCAAGCUUUAGCAGUUUGCCAAAAGCCUGUGAGUUCAGCCUGUCACUGGAGCAUCAGGGCUGCGAGGCUUCACA